rnacentral:tRNA from 1 species
GGCCCUGUGGCCUAAUGGAUAAGGUGUCGCCCUCCGGAGGCGAAGAUUGCAGGUUCG